rnacentral:rRNA from 1 species
CCAGAGAACUUAGCAGAGAUGCUUUGGUGCCUUCGGGAACUCUGAGACAGGUGCUGCAUGGCUGUCGUCAGCUCGUGUUGUGAAAUGUUGGGUUGAGUCCCGNAACGAGCGCAACCCUUAUCCUUUGUUGCCAGCGAUUCGGUCGGGAACUCAAAGGAGACUGCCGGUGAUAAACCGGAGGAAGGUGGGGAUGACGUCAAGUCAUCAUGGCCCUUACGGCCAGGGCUACACACGUGCUACAAUGGCGCAUACAAAGAGAAGCGACCUCGCGAGAGCAAGCGGACCUCAUAAAGUGCGUCGUAGUCCGGAUUGGAGUCUGCAACUCGACUCCAUGAAGUCGGAAUCGCUAGUAAUCGUAGAUCAGAAUGCUACGGUGAAUACGUUCCCGGGCCUUGUACACACCGCCCGUCACACCAUGGGAGUGGGUUGCAAAAGAAGUAGGUAGCUUAACCUUCGGGAGGGCGCUUACCACUUUGUGAUUCAUGACUGGGGUGAAGUCGUAACAAGGUAAGCGUACUACA